UGGCCCUUUGCAUUUGCAUUCUGCUGGAGCCAGGCCUCUGAAAAGCUCUUUUAAACCUCUUCUCCUUCCACUGGUCCCAACCUCUUUCAAAUAAAAUUGUAUAUGUCACAUAGGCAAAAUGUUAAUGCGUUUUUGGCUUUUAAUUCUUUUUUGAAAGACAUGUUUUUGUGUGUAUAUGCUCUCUCUGAAGGUCCUUGUCCAAGUUCAUAUUUGUCUUGCUGUAAAUUGAAUUGAGAAUAACUUAGGCUAAAUUUUUUUUUUUGUUGCUAUAAAUAGAGCUAUUCUUGGUGGGUGGAAACGAUGAAAAAACCACCACCAAAUGAGAAGAAACUCAGUUUACUGAGAUUGGUACAUUGGUUUAUUUCACCAUAAAGCCAUGCUAAAUCAAAAACCCAGAUAUGGCUGUAAAAUAAGUUGUGGGCUCUGGCAUGUGAUUUUUAAAAAUGUGGUACAAUAAAAUUCAAUGUAUGAUACAUCACUAAGGUACUUUACAACUAUAUUAUUCUUGGCAUUAAGAUAAAUUAACACUCUGGAACAUUCAGCUGUAUAUUCUGAGCUUUAUGAAGCACCAUGGGCUGGCCAGACCAUCAAAUGCAGAUGUUCGCUUAUACCUGCAAUGAUUUGCUGAAUUUCCUACCUUAAUCGUUAUUGCUGUAGCCCAGAGGCUUGGAGCUGAACGUAAGACAAAAAGACAUUUUACAGACCCUUGCGGGGAGGCCGUUUGUAAAUUAGAAACCAAGUCUCAGGUUACACACCCCUAAGUGCCAACUCCAAUACAUCACUCCUCCGCUCUUAUUUGAGCAGAACUUCCUCAGAGAAAUGGAAAAUAUGGAAAAGCUAUGAACAAAAGAAGUAUGCCUGAAAAAAUGUGUUCCUGGAAAAAGAUAUAUUCCCAUACUCCAAAUUUGCCAAGUUUUAGUGCAAUCAGAAAGUGUACUCGGAAAGGAGAAAUAACUUUAUUGGAAGUGUAGUGGGUGCUGAUGACCAAACUAUUUAUUAGGAAAAAGCAAAGAGCAAGCUAGGUCCCUGGUGAAAGAAAAUAAAAAGCAUACUUUUUUUAAGAGGUGCUUAAAUGAGUUGCUUUCCUUGAGGAUAAAGGGGACGUUCUUGUCAGAGCUAUAGAUUCUACAUCUAAAGAGAAAGGACAAUUAUGUAUAAGAUAAACACUUCCGACAAACAGUUAUGGGUUUGAAAGACAGUAGCUCCUUGCUGGUGAAAUAAAGCAACUGUCAAUAAGCCAGACACACUCUUGAAACAUUCAGAAAAAUGUCUUGCUAUCUUGCUAUUCCUCUCCAUAUAUAAUAUGCCAUAUGACACCACAGUUAAAUCUGCUACUGCAAAAAAAAAAAAAAAGUACGUCAAGCUGUUGGUUUCCAUGAGAUUUGGACAGAGGCAAAACAACACAGCAGAAAGGCGUCUGGGAAGGUAUAGCUUUCGCUUCUUUCCUUCUGAGGAGGAAAUGACUAGCUGACCAGGAGUUAGUGCUCACCCUGCCUGGAGCCAGGACCUGGGACGAGGACCUGGAACAUACCCAGAUGAGGAUGAAAAUGCAGCUUCAGGUAAUUAUUAACGGGAAUAGGCAACUAGAGAAAACAGUUACAAGUUAUGCAAAUAUACCAGUCAUGCCUUCUGCAUCAGCCUGCCCUGUGGUGCGUUGUACAGCUCUUUCCGUUAACGAUCCAGUCUUUUCUUUCCCUCCCUCUCCCCCAUCAUCAACAGGCAUGCCAAAUGCAAAUCUCCUUGGAUUCUGAUCCCAUCCCGGCAAAAUGCAGACUACCACCAUACCGAGUUUCACAAUAAUCUCCACAAUGACAAUUACUCACAGCCCCUCAGUUCUGUUCACACAAAAGAUCGCGAUUUGAAUCCUGCCUUGCACAGGUUCAGCUCUGUUGCAGCUGGUUACCAGGCAAACGGGCUGUUUUAAGAUUUACCGAUCACUGGGGAGAGUGAGCUGGGGGUGGGGAUGGACGAACCACCCUGUACAUACCUCCUUUUGGCAGCUCAGAAAAACAAUUUCGUGACAAAGAGACUUGUUCUUUUCAAAGCUCACCCAACAAAUGAAACUGACAGAAUGAAACCUGAGAAACUUCAGCGACCAAAGAAAGCAGCCUUCCAAGGAUCAAGUGGGAAUUUGCCAAGGAGUCUUCUAAUCUGCCAGCCUGUGAAGAAGGUGAACAGCCCCAGAGAAGUCUAUCAUCCAGACUGCAGAAAGACAACAGGAUCACAUGGCCUUUCUGCCAGAGGAUGGCCAGGCCAGGGGGGCCACCUGUUCCAGUCACUAGGUACUUCCCUCCCACCGUUAGUCAAAUGGACUCACCAGCCCAGGAAAGCAUAUUUACAAGGUUGAUGCAAAUGAAUCCUUUGGCCUUGGAAGUCACCUGCUGAAGAUGGAGGAGUCACAGCGGGGAAACGUCCCGGAAUCACGGCCCAGAGAGGAAAGUUAAAAUAAGUUUUGGAUUUCAUGAGAAAGAAGAUACACUUGGAUUGUGUUUAAACCAUUAUUCAUUUUGAGAUGUGACAGUAACAAGAGCUAGUAUUAGUAUUACUGAUACAUUAUUGUUACAGUUUUAACUCUCCCAGCUUGUCUGAAAUGACUGACUGUGGAGAGUGGCUGAGGGAACAGGAAAGGCUGUCUGGCAAAUACAACCGUCCCUUUAAUGCUGCCAAAUAGUCACUGGACAAUGUGAGGAGGGUCCACAGCUUUCCCAUCUUGGGGAAGCUGGUCCUUGUUCUGCCCUCGUCCUCUGGGGAAGGGCCCAACGAGCAGCAGACAAUGCGCAGUCAGACCACCAGCAGCAGCAGAGGAUGUGGAGCAACCCCAGUCAGCUCUGUGCCUGCCGCUCUGUGUUUCUUUGCUGCCCUGCUUCACGGAGGCCAUGUACCCCUACCCGCUUUGCCUCUGAUAAAAGGGAGAAGUACAAAUCAGAGAUGUUACCAGACCCCAUUACGUGCCAUCCCUGCUCAGUGCUUCCUAAAGCAGCAUCCUUCAUUCUCUCCGUGUGGAAAGCAAAGAGCUAUUUAGCUCUCCUGGUGAGUAACGCCAAAAUAUUUGAUUAUUAUUGUCUCUCAUUCAGAAGAUUCGCUGUCAAAAGGAAAAGCUCUGAGUCAUGCUUUAGAAAAAGGUGAACAGAGGAUAUGCAACCAAACCCAAAAGGUGGCAGACUGGAGUGGGAAUAAUCACUGGGGAGGCACUUUGUGGCCCCUGCCUGCGGUCAAGUGGGGCCAACAAGGCUUCCCCUUGUGUUUCUCACAGGGGGACACUGUGGGGACCAGUGAUUGUGUAAAAUGAAAGUGUAUUCUGAUCUUAUAAAAACAGUUGAUGAUCCUCAACUAUUUGCUGUGAAGUCUUUCUACAUAGGUUGCUUAAUUUCUCAACAAGCCUAUUAAGUAAGUAUUACAAUGAGCCUCACUUAUGCGGUAAGAAAACUGAGGCUCAGAGAGGAUAAACUAAUCAACAUCCCCAUGAUCCCCCAGGU